GGUGGGCGGAUGCCUACCCGAGAGACCAGGAGAGCUAAGUGAUUGAUGGAGCUUCCGGAAGUCUUGGCGGCUGUACCGGCGCUAAUGUUCCUCCUUUUCCUGAGGUGGAGUGGGCCCAAGCGGUGGUCAGGUUUUCUAAUCACAGAAUUACUGGAGCGUCAAGAAGCGCCUGCAUGCUUGGAAGGGCUUCCAGGCAGAUGAACACACCUCAGCACCGGGUGGCAGUUUCCCAGGGUGCAACCCGGACCGGCUCUGGGUCACACUGACAAGGAUAACAAGGAUUAACAAUUUCCAGAGACAGCCCGUACAUAGAGGGAAAGUUUACUGAAAAAAAUGAAGAGGGGUCAGGGCAAGGCGAGGAGCAAGAAGCAUCCCCAAGGAAACAGAGAAGACCAGUACAACUGUACCUCUUUGCCAGCUGCACCAUCCGUACCAGGUGGCACGUUCUAGAGGCCAUAGCCUCUGUUCUGGUCAUCUCCAGUCUCCUGGGGUGGGAGUGUACAGCUCAGAGACUGCCACACUGCAAGACGAAGGGGCUGGAUGGACGGAAGUAAGAGGCGGAACCCUGCACACCCUCGGCCUCAGCCCCACUGAGUCUCCAAUGGGGCCACGCUUCUGAGUGCACCUCCCCCUGUCAUCUGUAAUGUGAGGGGGAACCAGGCUUGAUAUGGCAUUCCCAAUCCAGGGC
rnacentral:antisense_RNA from 1 species